rnacentral:rRNA from 1 species
CGAUUCCUACGGGAGGCAGCAGUAGGGAAUAUUGGACAAUGGGUGAGAGCCUGAUCCAGCCAUGCCGCGUGCAGGAAGAAGGCCUUCUGGGUUGUAAACUGCUUUUAUCUGGGGAUAAAAAGGCCUUGCGAGGCAAACUGAAGGUACCAGAUGAAUAAGCCACGGCUAACUACGUGCCAGCAGCCGCGGUAAU